rnacentral:rRNA from 1 species
GCCUGUGGCCAGAUAGGACUGAUUGCACGUGAUCUCAGAAACUUAAGUAGACGUGGGCCUGGUUCAUACCUGGAUGGGAGACCGCCUGGGAAUCUUGUAGGCCACCUGCC